rnacentral:rRNA from 1 species
UUUAUCGGAGAGUUUGAUCCUGGCUCAGGACGAACGCUGGCGGCGUGCCUAAUACAUGCAAGUCGAGCGGACAGAUGGGAGCUUGCUCCCUGAUGUUAGCGGCGGACGGGUGAGUAACACGUGGGUAACCUGCCUGUAAGACUGGGAUAACUCCGGGAAACCGGGGCUAAUACCGGAUGGUUGUUUGAACCGCAUGGUUCAAACAUAAAAGGUGGCUUCGGCUACCACUURCAGAUGGACCCGCGGCGCAUUAGCUAGUUGGUGAGGUAAYGGCUCACCAAGGCRACGAUGCGUAGCCGACCUGAGAGGGUGAUCGGCCACACUGGGACUGAGACACGGCCCAGACUCCUACGGGAGGCAGCAGUAGGGAAUCUUCCGCAAUGGACGAAAGUCUGACGGAGCAACGCCGCGUGAGUGAUGAAGGUUUUCGGAUCGUAAAGCUCUGUUGUUAGGGAAGAACAAGURCCGUUCGAAUAGGGCGGUACCUUGACGGUACCUAACCAGAAAGCCACGGCUAACUACGUGCCAGCAGCCGCGGUAAUACGUAGGUGGCAAGCGUUGUCC